UUCGGCAGCCGAAGGCUGCUUCCACAAGCAUGUUCGGCGGCCGAAAGUUCCUUCGGCUGCCGAACCUGGUUUUUCCCUUAGUGGCAGAAACUCAGCUCUUCUAUGCAUAUACGCCUCCCUUUCCAUCCAAACAUGCAUAAACCUAUUCUACAACACACAUACACAAGCAUACAAGCUCCUAGGGGCUUCAAACUAUCUAAAACCCCAUCUACAAC
rnacentral:lncRNA from 1 species